rnacentral:rRNA from 1 species
UGCAAGUCGAGGGGUAGAGUUCGUUCGGAGCUUGAGACCGGCGCACGGGUGCGUAACGCGUAUGCAAUCUACCUUUUACAGAGGGAUAGCCCAGAGAAAUUUGGAUUAAUACCUCAUAGUAUAUCACAAUCGCAUGAUUGAGUUAUUAAAGUCACAACGGUAAAAGAUGAGCAUGCGUCCCAUUAGCUAGUUGGUAAGGUAACGGCUUACCAAGGCUACGAUGGGUAGGGGUCCUGAGAGGGAGAUCCCCCACACUGGUACUGAGACACGGACCAGACUCCUACGGGAGGCAGCAGUGAGGAAUAUUGGACAAUGGGCGCAAGCCUGAUCCAGCCAUGCCGCGUGCAGGAUGACGGUCCUAUGGAUUGUAAACUGCUUUUAUACGAGAAGAAACACUCCGACGUGUCGGAGCUUGACGGUAUCGUAAGAAUAAGGAUCGGCUAACUCCGUGCCAGCAGCCGCGGUAAUACGGAGGAUCCAAGCGUUAUCCGGAAUCAUUGGGUUUAAAGGGUCCGUAGGCGGUUUGGUAAGUCAGUGGUGAAAGCCCAUCGCUCAACGGUGGAACGGCCAUUGAUACUGCCAGACUUGAAUUAUUAGGAAGUAACUAGAAUAUGUAGUGUAGCGGUGAAAUGCUUAGAGAUUACAUGGAAUACCAAUUGCGAAGGCAGGUUACUACUAAUUGAUUGACGCUGAUGGACGAAAGCGUGGGUAGCGAACAGGAUUAGAUACUCUGGUAGUCCACGCCGUAAACGAUGGAUACUAGCUGUUGGGAGCAAUCUCAGUGGCUAAGCGAAAGUGAUAAGUAUCCCACCUGGGGAGUACGUUCGCAAGAAUGAGACUCAUAGGAAUUGACGGGGGCCCGCACAAGCGGUGGAGCAUGUGGUUUAAUUCGAUGAUACGCGAGGAACCUUACCAAGGCUUAAAUGUA